UUGAACGCUGGCGGCAUGCUUUACACAUGCAGGUCGCACGGUAACAGGCCUUCGGGUGCUGACGAGUGGCGAACGGGUGAGUAAUGCAUCGGAACGUACCCAGAGGUGGGGGAUAACGCAGCGAAAGCUGUGCUAAUACCGCAUGUGAUCUGAGGAUGAAAGCGGGGGACCGAGCAGCAAUGUUUGGCCUCGCGCCUUUGGAGCGGCCGAUGUCGGAUUAGCUAGUUGGUGGGGUAAAGGCCUACCAAGGCGACGAUCCGUAGCUGGUCUGAGAGGACGACCAGCCACACUGGGACUGAGACACGGCCCAGACUCCUACGGGAGGCAGCAGUGGGGAAUUUUGGACAAUGGGCGCAAGCCUGAUCCAGCAAUGCCGCGUGCGGGAAGAAGGCCUUCGGGUUGUAAACCGCUUUUGGCAGGAACGAAACGGUGUCCGCUAAUACCGGGCGCUAAUGACGGUACCUGCAGAAUAAGCACCGGCUAACUACGUG
rnacentral:rRNA from 1 species